rnacentral:rRNA from 1 species
AGAGAUGCAUUGGGUUUAAAGCGUGCGCAGGCGGUUUUGUAAGACAGAGGUGAAAUUCCCGGGCUCAACCUGGGAACUGCCUUUGUGACUGCAAAGCUGGAGUGCGGCAGAGGGGGAUGGAAUUCCGCGUGUAGCAGUGAAAUGCGUAGAUAUGCGGAGGAACACCGAUGGCGAAGGCAAUCCCCUGGGCCUGCACUGACGCUCAUGCACGAAAGCGUGGGGAGCAAACA